ensembl:snoRNA SNORD42 Small nucleolar RNA SNORD42
GUGCAGAUGAUGGUUGGAUUUUCCGACUGAGCUAAGUGAUGUGUUCAAAGGAACCUCUGAUGCAC